rnacentral:rRNA from 1 species
CAUGUGGUUUAAUUCGAAGCAACGCGAAGAACCUUACCAGGUCUUGACAUCCUUUGACCACUCUAGAGAUAGAGCUUUCCCUUCGGGGACAAAGUGACAGGUGGUGCAUGGUUGUCGUCAGCUCGUGUCGUGAGAUGUUGGGUUAAGUCCCGCAACGAGCGCAACCCUUAUUGUUAGUUGCCAUCAUUUAGUUGGGCACUCUAGCGAGACUGCCGGUGACAAACCGGAGGAAGGUGGGGAUGACGUCAAAUCAUCAUGCCCCUUAUGACCUGGGCUACACACGUGCUACAAUGGGAAGUACAACGAGUCGCUAGACCGCGAGGUCAUGCAAAUCUCUUAAAGCUUCUCUCAGUUCGGAUUGCAGGCUGCAACUCGCCUGCAUGAAGCCGGAAUCGCUAGUAAUCGCGGAUCAGCACGCCGCGGUGAAUACGUUCCCGGGCCUUGUACACACCGCCCGUA